rnacentral:rRNA from 1 species
GACGAACGCUGGCGGCGUGCUUAACACAUGCAAGUCGAGCGGUAAGGCCCUUUUCGGGGGUACACGAGCGGCGAACGGGUGAGUAACACGUGGGUGACCUGCCCUCAGCUCUGGGAUAAGCCUGGGAAACCGGGUCUAAUACUGGAUAUGACUCCAUGACGCAUGUUGUGGGGUGGAAAGCCUUGUGCGGCUGAGGAUGGGCCCGCGGCCUAUCAGCUUGUUGGUGGGGUGANGGCCUACCAAGGCGACGACGGGUAGCCGGCCUGAGAGGGCGACCGGCCACACUGGGACUGAGACCACGGCCCAGACUCCUACGGGAGGCAGCGAGUGGGGAAUCUUGCGCAAUGGGCGAAAGCCUGACGCAGCGACGCCGCGUGAGGGAUG